rnacentral:rRNA from 1 species
AUUGAACGCUGGCGGCAUGCCUUACACAUGCAAGUCGAACGGCAGCACGGGACUCGGGCAACUGAGCCCUGGUGGCGAGUGGCGAACGGGUGAGUAAUGCAUCGGAACGUGCCCAGUAGUGGGGGAUAACUAGUCGAAAGAUUAGCUAAUACCGCAUACGACCUAUGGGUGAAAGCGGGGGAUUCGCAAGAACCUCGCGCUAUCGGAGCGGCCGAUGUCUGAUUAGCUAGUUGGCGGGGUAAAAGCCCACCAAGGCUUCGAUCAGUAGCUGGUCUGAGAGGACGACCAGCCACACUGGGACUGAGACACGGCCCAGACUCCUACGGGAGGCAGCAGUGGGGAAUUUUGGACAAUGGGCGCAAGCCUGAUCCAGCCAU